AUGGACUUGGUGCCAAGCUGCGUUUUCCUCCUGAUCAUUUUUCAAGGUGUCCAGUGUGAGGUGCAGCUGGUGGAGUCUGGGGGAGGCUUGGUGCCACCUGGGGGGUCUCUGAGACUCUCCUGUGCAGCCUCUGGAUUCACCUUCAGUAGCUCCUGGAUGGACUGGGUCCGCCAGGCUCCAGGGAAGGGGCUGGAGUGGCUUGGUGAAAUUAAUCCUGAUGGAAGUACCACAAACUAUGCCAAUGCUGUGAAGGGCCGAUUCACCAUCUCCAGGGACAACGCCAAGAACAUGCUGUAUCUGCAAAUGAACAGCCUGAGCGCCCAGGACACGGCUGUGUAUUACUGUGUGAGAGACACACAGUUCCCCAGUUGCCCAGCUCUGGGAACCACAUGGUGUGUGUCUGAGACACAAGUGAAGCACAGUGUCCUGUCCCAGGUGCAGCUGCAGGAGUCGGGCUCCACGGUGGUGCAGCCCUCGCAGACCCUGUCCCUCACCUGUGCCAUCUCUGGGGACAGUGUCUCUAGCAACACUGCCACUUGGGACUGGAUCAGGCAGCCCCCAGGGGAAGGGCUCCAGUGA